rnacentral:rRNA from 1 species
CUCCUACGGGAGGCAGCAGUGAGGAAUUUUGCGCAAUGGGGGAAACCCUGACGCAGCAACGCCGCGUGAGUGAAGAAGGCCUUCGGGUCGUAAAGCUCUGUCAAGUGGGAAGAACCCUUCCGGUGUUAACAGCACCGGGAGCUGACGGUACCACUGAAGGAAGCACCGGCUAACUCCGUGCCAGCAGCCGCGGUAAUACGGAGGGUGCAAGCGUUAUUCGGAAUUACUGGGCGUAAAGGGCGCGCAGGCGGCCUGUUAAGUCAGUUGUGAAAGCCCGGGGCUCAACCCCGGAAGUGCGACUGAAACUGGCAGGCUUGAGUAUGGGAGAGGGAAGUGGAAUUCCUGGUGUAGCGGUGAAAUGCGUAGAUAUCAGGAGGAACACCGGUGGCGAAGGCGACUUCCUGGACCAAUACUGACGCUGAGGCGCGAAGGCGUGGGUAGCAAACAGGAUUAGAUACCCUGGUAGUCCACGCAGUAAACGGUGAUCACUAGGUGUUGCGGGCUUCGAUGUCUGCAGUGCCGAAGCAAACGCAUUAAGUGAUCCGCCUGGGGAGUACGGCCGCAAGGUUAAAACUCAAAGGAAUUGACGG